rnacentral:lncRNA from 1 species
UUUCCAAUGCCCCUUUGGCACACAUUAUUUCACCUGACCGUUUGAUCUUUUUUUUUUCUUUCAACAUCUUGAAUAUGGGUUCCUACGUGGCUGUUAGAUGAGAUAUGAACCAUGACAGGUAGUUCAAUCUAUCUAUGAAACCACAAACCUCUUUUCUUUCUCGGUUCAGGCGUUUUUUUNUUUUUUUUUUUUUUUUUUUUUUUUUUUUUU